rnacentral:tRNA from 1 species
CGGGAUGUCGUAUAGUGGCAUUAUGCGCGCUUCGGGUGCGCGAGACCAGAGUUCGAUUCUCUGCAUCCCGA